UUUAAGGAUACCCAACAAAUACGUGACACCCUCGAGCUUACCGUAAAAGGUCUAAUAAAGGGGCCACGUACAAAAUCAAAUGAUUGACUUUACAUGGCACCUACAUUAAAACUUCAGGACAUUCCAAUUUAUAGUUACUUUUUACGGAAGGCAAUUUACUGCUUCUAAAGAGUUACUGCUUCUACAUUGUAAAGAGUAGCGACAUGCAGCUAGCUACAUUAUUUAAUUAUGCUAGUAGAGUAUAAUUAUAAUUAUACUAUAGUAACUAUACCGUUAGCAGCUUAUUUUCGAAGCUCGUAGAUUGAGGAUUUAAGAUAGAGGUUCAAAUGACCGCGCUCGCGACACUAUAAGGCCACUCCAAGUGAUACUCUGGUUUCUGGUCCACCGCCCGCAUCAGAUUUUAUUCUUGGAUUUCUAUCUCAUUAUUUCUACUACGCAUGCGCAGAAUGGUCCAUAUGGUACAAAAUAAUGUGAUAAUGAUAUUCAUUUGCAAAAAUAUUAAUAAUGAGAUUCAUAAGGUGAAAUUGAUAAUGACAUAAUGAGAAAAGCCGCCCGCCCGCAUGCAAUUAGAAAAACUUCAGGACCAGAAACCAGAGUGUCACUUGGAGUGGCCUAAUAGUAAUACCCUCGUCCCUACACCCACUUCCUCUACUCAGGAGGAGGCCUGUGAAAAAGGCUACUAUAGUACUAGUAAAUAGCGGUACAAGGCUGAAAACAGUAGGCUAGGUGCUCGGCAUACUAUUGACAAAACUUACACAGACUCAAGCAGUUCGUCAGCACAGCUUUCACAUAGCCAGUGACCACAGAGGGUUUGGAUGGCAUCCUUCAGGAGGAGUUUACAGUGAGGGCACUGGUAUUUGUCUCUACUGUCUACCUUAUGUCCUGACAUCGUGGAUGAGAGCUAGUUAGGUAGAUCAGUCUGUGUACGUGUAUGAAGAAGUACAAGACAAAGACACAGUACGUACGUACACGUAGUACUGGCUCAAUAAUAGUCCUUGGGGUUUCCCAGGGACAUUCCCCAGGACUAUCCCUUACUGAUGUAGACUAGAAAAUGGGACCGUCCCGGGGAAUGCCCCUCAAAGCAGCAAGCCAAUCACUAGGUACUAGGUAAGUACAAGUAGGUACAACAUACAAGUGUCUCCUGGGAAAACUUCCUUGAUUCACUAUAUAUACUAAUUGAUAGUUAAAUUUGUCUAGUACCGAACUUAGCUACAUGACAUGCAGUCAUUGUCAUAUAGAUCUAGUAUCUACAAAGCUUCACUCAAGAAUACCGCUAUUAAAAGAAUGGACCAAAGAGAUUUUCCAGUUACUGAAUAUGAGGGACAACAAAUUCAAACAAGGAUGAAACCAUAUGAACACAGGAUAAGUGAACAAGAAACUGAAGAUAUGAAAGCUGAAAAUGUAGAAGGUUUUUCGCCAUUUCAAGUGCUGAUGAAAUUAGUCCUAGACAAAAGAGAAUUGGAAAAAGAACUUCAAAGAGCCCGAGCAGAAAAUGCUGCUGUACAUCAUCGAAGACAAAUUUUGAGAAGUCAACUGGCAGGAAAUUUUCGUGCAGUAGAAGCAGAUAGUGGCAACAUCCUGACAGUGUUCUCACAAAUCCAUCAGAAAAUAGUUGAAUCGUUGGCAGAGGACAAAACAUUUUCCAGUCAGCCAUUCUUUUUGGAGAGAUGCCGCUACAAAGUACGUCUUAGCAUGCAUUUUGAUCUCAUCAACAAUGAACCUAGCAUGUCACUCAACUUCAUGAUCAUAAAGGGGGAAUUUGACAGUGAGCUUGAAUGGCCUUUCCCCCACCAAAUCACAUUUAAAGUGAUCAACAAGACUGGCGGCAGAGACAUUAUCAGAUCUCUUGGAUCACAAGACAGUUCCACAUGUGCAAAACCCGAUACAGAUAAAAAUAUUAUCUAUGGCUGCCCAAACAUCGCAUCUCAAACGGAACUAAUGAGAGGAUAUAUACAGGAUGACUCUGUAUUCCUUGAAUGUGAAAUACACUAUGUUUAAACAGCGAAGGAUUAGAACUACAGUCAGUGGUAUAGAUGUUUAAAGACUUCUAUCACAUAAUAAUUAUAUCUGUUCUUCAGAA